rnacentral:lncRNA from 1 species
CUGGCAUCGAUGACAUGGGAACUAUUCUGUGUCUUUUCACCCGAGAGCUCUUCAAUCAACUGAUGAUCGCACCUGCAUAACUGCUACCAGACCUGCUAAGGGGGAGCCUGGCCCAGCCAUCUCUUCUUUGUGGUCACAAGCAUGAACGGCCCUGGGACAUCCUCUUUCCUCACUGUCCCCUCACAGCAUUUCCUGACCACUGUGGCCUUGGUCCCACCACCCACCUGUGCAGCUCAUCUGGCCAUGAACCUCUCCAGCUCACAACUCUGUUUUCUCCCUGUUGUUUCUAUGAAACCAGGUUCCAGCCCCGCCACACAGUCUGCACGGCCUCCACCGCAGCUCUGGUGAGCCUCUUGGCCAGCUCCUGGUGACAGCGUGCACCUCCCUGCUCUGAGAAGGUCUCCCUCUCCUCUCUGCCCACCCUGUACAGAGACAUCUUUCAAGCCCAUCCCAGAGGAGAGUGGCCUCUCUCCUCAACCCCAAGAGGACGGCCUCUCAUGUGGCUGUCACCCAUCUGACCCCUAUCACAGACCUGAGGGUAAGUGGUGCUCACGGGCCCACAUCUGUCAGCCUGCGCCUGGUUGGAGACGCCUCCCUCUCAUUUGUCCUUGCUUGCUGCGUGACUUUGGCAAGUGCUUGCCUCUUUGAGACCCUCAGUUUUCACACCUGAGAAAUAGAAAGGUGGUGCCUGCCCCAGCUGCCACGCAGAAGAGUUUAGGUGGCAUGUGAGAAAAUGCCUUAUGAACUACGAUGUGAGCAACUGCAGCAUGCUGUGAACACCGCUUUCAUGAGCUCCUCAGGGGCAGGGUAACACCCAAGCAUUCUUACACCUCCCACCGGGCUUGUCACGACCGUAUGCAAAUGAAGGCCAUCAAGCGUGUUUGAUCAGUGAUGUAUUUCUUUAUUUUUAGUUGUAGAAUAUGACAACUCUAUUUUUAGCAGCUAUAGCGGCCAAAACUUUGUUACCACUCAGCAGUUGUGUGUUCUUCAAGAGUAGGUUUUGUGCUUUCAAAAUAUCUGAAUCCUCUACCAUUUACAGGUGUUCUGUGCAUACUUGGUGUAUGAGUUCCUCAGGAAGGAAGAAAAAUGUGCCCUUUUUAUCUUUUAAAAAGAUGGCUUGG